GCAUAUCAAUAAGCGGAGGAAAAGAAACCAACCGGGAUUGCCUCAGUAACGGCGAGUGAAGCGGCAAGAGCUCAAAUUUGAAAGCUGGCUCCUUCGGAGUCCGCAUUGUAAUUUGCAGAGGAUGCUUUGGGUGCGGCCCCCGUCUAAGUGCCCUGGAACGGGCCGUCAGAGAGGGUGAGAAUCCCGUCUUGGGCGGGGUGUCCGUGCCCGUGUAAAGCUCCUUCGACGAGUCGAGUUGUUUGGGAAUGCAGCUCUAAAUGGGUGGUAAAUUUCAUCUAAAGCUAAAUACUGGCCGGAGACCGAUAGCGCACAAGUAGAGUGAUCGAAAGAUGAAAAGCACUUUGAAAAGAGAGUUAAACAGCACGUGAAAUUGUUGAAAGGGAAGCGCUUGCGACCAGACUCGCCCGCGGGGUUCAGCCGGCAUUCGUGCCGGUGUACUUCCCCGUGGGCGGGCCAGCGUCGGUUUGGGCGGCCGGUCAAAGGCCCCUGGAAUGUAGUACCCUCCGGGGUACCUUAUAGCCAGGGGUGCAAUGCGGCCAGCCUGGACCGAGGAACGCGCUUCGGCACGGACGCUGGCAUAAUGGUCGUAAACGACCCGUCUUGAAACACGGACCAAGGAGUCUAACAUCUACGCGAGUGUUCGGGUGUCAAACCCGUGCGCGCAGUGAAAGCGAACGGAGGUGGGAGCCCCCUCGCGGGGCGCACCAUCGACCGAUCCUGAUGUCUUCGGAUGGAUUUGAGUAAGAGCGUAAAUGUGGGGACCCGAAAGAUGGUGAACUAUGCCUGAAUAGGGCGAAGCCAGAGGAAACUCUGGUGGAGGCUCGCAGCGGUUCUGACGUGCAAAUCGAUCGUCAAAUUUGGGUAUAGGGGCGAAAGACUAAUCGAACCAUCUAGUAGCUGGUUCCUGCCGAAG
rnacentral:rRNA from 1 species